CAAUGGUUUUCGUAUGAUCACCAAAGUUAAGCAAAGUCGAGCCUGGUUAGUACGUAGAUGCGGGAGCACUUGGGAAUACCAUGUGCUGUAAG